rnacentral:rRNA from 1 species
UACGUAGGCAGCGAGCGUUGUUCGGAGUUACUGGGCGUAAAGAGUGCGUAGGCGGUUUUCUAAGUUUGGUGUGAAAUCUCCCGGCUCAACUGGGAGGGUGCGCCGAAGACUGGAAGGCUUGAGUAUGGGAGAGGUAAGCGGAAUUCCUGGUGUAGCGGUGAAAUGCGUAGAUAUCAGGAGGAACACCUGCGGCGUAGACGGCUUACUGGACCAUAACUGACGCUGAGGCACGAAAGCGUGGGUAGCAAACAGG